rnacentral:rRNA from 1 species
AUUGAACGCUAGCGGGAUGCUUAACACAUGCAAGUCGAACGGAGUGGCGGACGGGUGAGUAAUGUCUCGGAACGUGCCCUGUGGCGGGGGUUAACUACUCGAAACGGUGCCUAAUACCGCAUACUAUUCGAUCGGCCCAUAUUGGAUUAGCUAGUUGGUGGGGUAAAGGCUAACCAAGGAAACGAUCCGUAGCUGGUCUGAGAGGAUGAUCAGCCACACUGGAACUGAGACACGGCCCAGACUCCUACGGGAGGCAGCAGUGGGGAAUCUUGGACAAUGGGGGAAACCCUGAUGCAGCCAUCCCGCGUGUAUGAUGAAGGCCUUCGGGUUGUAAAGUACUUUUGGCAGAGAAGCGGUAUCUGCAGAAUAAGCACCGGCUAACUACGUGCCAGCAGCCGCGGUAAUAC